UACGUAGGGUGCAAGCGCUAAUCGGAAUUACUGGGCGUAAAGCGUGCGCAGGCGGUUUUGUAAGUCUGUCGUGAAAGCCCCGGGCUCAACCUGGGAAUUGCGAUGGAGACUGCAAGGCUUGAAUCUGGCAGAGGGGGGUAGAAUUCCACGUGUAGCAGUGAAAUGCGUAGAGAUGUGGAGGAACACCGAUGGCGAAGGCAGCCCCCUGGGUCAAGAUUGACGCUCAUGCACGAAAGCGUGGGGAGCAAACAGG
rnacentral:rRNA from 1 species